rnacentral:tRNA from 1 species
GCCCCUUUAGCUCAGUUGGUUAGAGCACCCCGCUCAUAACGGGUAGGCCCACAGUUCAAGUCUGUGAAGGGGCACCA